AUAAUGUGUAUUCAUCUCAUGGGAAAUCUUACAAUAUUAAAAGCCAAAUAUACUCACCAUUUAGCAUGUCCACGUAGGACUAGAAAUUCAGGCCAAUCAGAUUGUUUCAUCUCUCCACAUCACCACCACACGUUUGGAUCAUAGAAGAUGAUUUUCGUUUAGUUUUUGGACUUUUGUUUUAAUCUGAGCAAGCCCAGUUGGGACUAGGGGUUUAUUCCAUUUUUGCAUUAUUGAAAGUCUUUUUUUUUCUUUGUUGAAUGUGGAAAGUCAAACGCCGUAGUUCUUCACAACUCACCGAUUCCGGCUGAUGUCUAUGUAACGCCUUCAUUUAUGUCACUUAAUCAAAGCAUUAACGUCUAUUCACCACUUUUUCCAAUCUUUCGAAUUACAUCGACCAUUUCAUCCUCCAUGGUAACGGCCUGAAUCUGCAUUUAUAAAUGUCUUUGUAGCUUGGGAUGAAGCUUCAUAUAUCAAAAAGAAAUCCCAAAGGGUAUUUCCUGUGAAGCAUCAAAUCCAGCAAUGGCUAAUUCCUUUACUCUCCUGACCGAUCUGAAAGCUGGAUUCUGUUCAAACACCGCCCAGGUCCGUCAACUCCGAUUCUAGGAAGCAAGAAAUGUUAAGAAAGGCGGUCAACUCAUGGGUGUUGACAUGCUUUUCAUUGACGACCAGUCAACGCUCAUCCAAGGAACUUUCAGCGCUAACCGUACACUUACGAAGGCUUUUUCAAAGAGGGUUCGGUCUACUUGCUCAGUGGGGUCGACAUAACAUGGAGUAACAACAAUUUUCGAAUCUCUGACGCCCCUGUGUCUAUUCGAUUGAGUGAUGGUACGUUCUUUGUUGAAAUGACAGAUUCGGUGAAGUCAAUCCCGAUAGAGCUUAUAUCUCAGGUUGCUGUCACAGAGGUACUUGGAGGUGGUCGCUUCUAUGUUCAAUCGGUUGGAGACCAGAAACUAUCUUCGAUUCAGAACCUUCUUUCAACCAUGUGUGUUAAAGAUGCUCCCAUCCUCGCAUCCUUCAACCCCAAGAGAGGUGACAUCGUCCUUGCACAGUUUUUCCUUGAAAACACUGGAACCGUGCAAUGAUUGUGAACGCACCACGAGGAGCUGUUGAGAUGAUAAAUUUUAAGUUUUCUACAUUGAUUAUGGAAACCAAAAAGUAGUCCCUAAAGCGCAAUCCGACCAGUAGACCCUCCGGUAUCAUUAGCACCAGGGCAUGCUCAGCUCUGGCGACUUGCCUACAUUAAGGUUCCAAGCUUGAAAGAAGACUUUGGUCCUGAAGAAGGAAAGAAAGUAUUUGCAUACAGUAACGUUGGGUAAUAGUAAGGAUUUUAACGCACUGAUAGAAGAAAAAGACACAUGGAGGCCAAGUCAAAGGCCAAGGCACUGGAACUGAGAUUGCUGUCACUCUCAUCGCAGUUGACAAUGAGAUCUCGGUCAAUUUUGCAAUGCUUCUGGUAUUUUCUUUCUCUCACGGAUUAAGAGUACCCUCCAUAUGUGUUUGAAACUCUCAUCGCAGGGUAUAUCAUCUAUUGAUAGCUCUUAAUUGCUCAUGAGAUGUCUUUUGUUUUAGAACUUCAUUAUUUUACAGUUAAAAUAUCCAAACUACUAGCACCUCUUAUAUGAGGUUAUUAUUCAGAUAUUUACCUCUAUUAUAUUAUCCCCAACUAUCUGGUUAGAUAUGUUCAUUUCAA